CUACUCCAGAGUCUGGUUCCCCUCCACAGAGCGCUGCUGCAUCUAGGUCUAGAAGGCCCAAAGGCAAAUCAGUGGCGCAGAUUAGGGCCGAGUGUGUUAGACGCGACGGGAGGAUCCUCUUUCAGAGGAAUACUGUUGGUAAGUUGAUCGAGCCCCCGGGGAUCUCCACCUGCUGCACGAACUCGUUUAAGAGGAUUCCGAACCCAGGCGGGUACACGUGGAAGUUAACUCCGCCAACGGUGCAGGAGUUGUAUUUUGAGGAAUUCAAGAAAGAGUUUACUUGGAACCCUGAGGAUGAGGCUGAUGUGAAAAAAAUGUGGUUAGAAAAGGCCCGCAAAAGGUACAGUGACAACAUGAGCGAGUAUAAGAGACUGCUCAAGCAGAAGACCGAGGCAGGGGAGAUGAUGGAGACACCGCUGGGCAUGUCCGACACCUUUUGGACGGGACUCAAGGCAUACUGGGAUCAAGAUGAGGUUAAGGCCGUUUCUAGGCGCGCACGUGAGAAUCGAUACUCUGAGCCCGAU